UUUUUCUGAAUAUAAAAUCAUAUUAAUUCAAAACAGUCGUAAACAUUUAAGUGAAAUGUCCAAGUCUCAUAACUCCUGGCCUAGGAGAUAACUAGAGUUGGAACACACUCCUAUAGGAUUCUCAUUAGUAGACGUGUAUGGUUUUCCUCCUAAAAGUGAGAUGUUUACUAGGUCGAACUGGUUUUGCUCUCCAGAAUCAAUUCUGUUCCUUUCUAUGCCAGUGUAUAAUUCAUUUUUUCUAAUGACUGUGCAAUAUUCCCUUGUACACAUGUGCUAUAAUUUAAGCAAGCUCAUUUUAGCAACAGUUGGUUUUUUCCUAGUUCUCCCAUUAAAACGGAGCCUCGGACCUCCCAGAACCAUUUGGGACAUCACGGUGAAAUGUCAAUAGCAGACCCUUACCAGGCAACUGUGGGGACUUCCUAAAAGCCCACAGUGCCCUGUACGAGGAAGAACAGGAGGCUGUUAACAGUUACUACCUGACGUCACACACAACCCCCUCCCCCAUGCUGACUGCAGAGCUCGCAAAUCUGCCAGGAUGGGAAGGGCAUGAUUCCAGCCAUCCUCCUUGUAUCCCAAGGAAGACGAACUUGGGUGCAGGUGCUCUGCACACAGCAGCAGACAACCCUGCUCCAGCUGCAGAGCUGUACCGGUACCGCAUGUGGCUGUAGGAGUUGGGCAGAUGUGGGAAGCUGCACGCUGAAGGAAGUCACCUGUCACUCUGCCAUCCUGUGGGAGAGGUUCUGCUUGCUGGAUUCAUCACUCAUGGAACUCCGUCGUCCUUUUAACUUGGGUAGGUCCCAAGAGAAAUGCUUGCAAUAGCUCCUGAGGAAGGCCUGAAGCACCACCUGUUUGUAGUUCAUGUGUUGUCACUCAUCUGGUAGCUCACCUUACUGGUAUGAGGUCACAUCCACACCUGCAGCCUCUCCACCUUGCCUGGAUCUCUCUUCAGCUUUCUCAACUCCCACAUGAGGUGUGAAGAUAUGGAACUCGACAAUGAAGCUGCCUUCUACCUUCUGUAGGCCAUCCAUGUCAUCAAGAUCAGAAGCAAUUGGGACUGAUGAGUUUCAGUAGGUAUCAGUCUGUUCUCAUAAACCCCAGGUGACAAUGGCAGGUCCCAGAGUGCAUUCGAUGUGCCCCACCUCCCAUGCAUCUCCUCUUCCCUGAUCUUUCUAUGAACUUCAAGUUUCGGGUAUGAAGCAAUAUAUCUGUCAGAGACAGCAUAACUAGCUGCUAAAAUGGUGUAAGACUAAUUCCUGAAACGUAUUCCUUCAUAUAUAAGUAUAGAUAUGCUAACACAUAUGUCCGUGUGUGUAAAUAUAUGCACACCAAUAUACCUGUAUAUCUGCAUAUAUAGCUGUACACAUGUAUGUAACUUUGCUUCACUACACCCUAAGCUGUCUUUAUAUAAAUUUUCAUCAUCAUCACAACUCCCCAGUAAGCUAUGCUUUUUGUCAAAGUAAAAUUUCCCCUUCAAACAUUAAAUAUUUUAUGUCUUUUACUUUACAUAAUAAUCAUUACUCCCAUUUUUGUUUGCUAUAUUCCUGAUUGCUUCUCCAUCUGCGGUAUGUUGAAUAAAAAUCAG
ensembl:lncRNA